UACGGAGGGUGCAAGCGUUAUCCGGAUUCACUGGGUUUAAAGGGUGCGUAGGUGGGAAUGUAAGUCAGUGGUGAAAUCUCCGUGCUUAACAUGGAAACUGCCAUUGAUACUAUGUUUCUUGAAUUUUCUGGAGGUCAGCGGAAUAUGUCAUGUAGCGGUGAAAUGCUUAGAUAUGACAUAGAACACCAAUUGCGAAGGCAGCUGACUACAGGGAUAUUGACGCUGAGGCACGAAAGCGUGGGGAUCAAACAGG
rnacentral:rRNA from 1 species